rnacentral:tRNA from 1 species
GGGCCCAUAGCUCAGUCGGUUAGAGCGGGUGACUCAUAAUCACUAGGUCCGGGGUUCAAGUCCCUGUGGGCCCA